rnacentral:rRNA from 1 species
CCUACGGGUGGCUGCAGUGGGGAAUAUUGGUCAAUGGGCGCGAGCCUGAACCAGUCAAGUAGCGUGAAGGAUGACUGCCCUACGGGUUGUAAACUUCGUUUAUAAAGGAAUAAAGUGAGGCACGUGUGCCUUUUUGUAUGUACUUUAUGAGUAAGAGUCGGCUCACUCGGUGCCAGCAGCCGCGGUAAUACGGGGGAUCCGAGCGUUAUCCGGAUUUAUUGGGUUUAAAGGGAGCGCAGAUGGGUUGUUAAGUCAGUUGUGAAAGUUUGCGGCUUAACCGUAAAAUUGCAAUUGAUACUGGCAGUCUUGAGUACAGUUGAGGUAGGCGGAAUUCGUGGUGUAGCGGUGAAAUGCUUAGAUAUCACGAAGAACUCCGAUUGCGAAGGCAGCUUACUAAACUGCCACUGACAUUGAUGCUCGAAAGUGUGGGUAUCAAACAGGAUUAGAUACCCUUGUAGUC